GAUGAACGCUAGCGGCAGGCCUAAUACAUGCAAGUCGAGGGGUAAGGCUCUUUCGGGAGUACACGACCGGCGCACGGGUGCGUAACGCGUAUGCAACCUACCUUUAACAGUGGGAUAGCCCCGAGAAAUCGGGAUUAAUACCGCAUAACAAUGCGAAUUGGCAUCAAUUUGCAUUUAAAACUCCGGUGGUUAAAGAUGGGCAUGCGUGACAUUAGCUAGUUGGUAAGGUAACGGCUUACCAAGGCUACGAUGUCUAGGGGUUCUGAGAGGAUGAUCCCCCACACUGGUACUGAGACGCGGACCAGACUCCUACGGGAGGCAGCAGUAAGGAAUAUUGGUCAAUGGGCGCAAGCCUGAACCAGCCAUGCCGCGUGCAGGAAGACGGCCUUAUGGGUUGUAAACUGCUUUUAUUUAGGAAUAAUACCCCGCUCGUGAGCGGGGU
rnacentral:rRNA from 1 species